AGUGAACGCUGGCGGUAGGCCUAACACAUGCAAGUCGAACGGCAGCACAGUAAGCGCUUGCUCUUACGGGUGGCGAGUGGCGGACGGGUGAGGAAUCCAUCGGAAUCUACUUUUUCGUGGGGGAUAACGUAGGGAAACUUACGCUAAUACCGCAUACGACCUACGGGUGACAGCAGGGGAUCUUCGGACCUUGCGCGAUUGAAUGAGCCGAUGUCGGAUUAGCUAGUUGGCGGGGUAAAGGCCCACCAAGGCGACGAUCCGUAGCUGGUCUGAGAGGAUGAUCAGCCACACUGGAACUGAGACACGGUCCAGACUCCUACGGGAGGCAGCAGUGGGGAAUAUUGGAGAAUGGGCGGAAGCCUGAUCCAGCCAUACCGCGUGGGUGAAGAAGGCCUUCGGGUUGUAAAGCCCUUUUGUUGGGAAAGAAAAGCAGCAGGUUAAUACCUCGCUGUGCUGACGGUACCCAAAGAAUAAGCACCGGCUAACUUCGUG
rnacentral:rRNA from 1 species